AGUGGGACCGAGCCUCUCUCUCUCUCUCUCUCUCUCUCUCUCUAUCUCUCUCUCUCUCUUUUUUUUCCCCCGGCAGAGAGAGGAAAACACGCGAGUGCACACACGGUGAUAUCUUGCGGGUGAUGAAUAUGAUAAUUGGACAAGGGACGAGAGAACCAUUCUCUGCUUUCAAUAGGACAGAAGAGCUCCUUGGCACUGGAUGCCUCCGGGUCUGGUUGAGAGAGGAAUGGUUAGGAGACUGUUCUGAGGAUACGCAGACAUCAUCCAAAGCUUCCUACAUUCAGAUGAGGACAGAGGUUGGGCCAGAGCUUUGUAAGCUUGUUACCUAAGGAUGGUUCUGACCAUGUAAGCAGAUCACAGAAGCCUUUCUCUUUACUCAUUGGACUCAGAGCCAGCCUUGACAAUGUGCUGAUGGCAACCUAGAACAUAAGCAGAGGAGUAUACAGGACAAGAACUUGAUGGUCUCGGGAAAAUGGACAACAUGACUCAGGUGAAAAAGAUUGAUCAUCAGAUGUUUCUUAUGUAUCAACCUGAUAUUUAAAUCCAUGAAGGACAGAGACGACAAAGGCAGGUGGAAUAGAUAGAGAAGAGAUUCAAGGUCUGAGCUCUACAUUACUCAAACUGUUAGAGAUUAGGAAGAAGAGGAAGACCUGGCAAAAGAAUGUCCUGGGAUGUAGAAAGAAAACCAGAAGCUUGUGUUCUCUGGAAACCAAAUGAAGAAAGGGCUUCCAGAAGGACAGACAAAGUGUAGUGUGUCAAAGGCUCCUGAGCAAUCAGAGGAGAGCACAAAGGGGCUCACAGGACUUUGGUAUCUGGAUCACCCAGUGACACUUCCUGAUCACGAGAAACUGUCAGACCAACAGGGGCACUUUCUGAAACCAGCAGUUCUUCAGUGCCCAAAUGCAACCUUGAUGGUUUGAUUUUGGAGGAUGGCAAUUCAUUAACAGCACUCCCCAGUGAUAAAUAUGAAAACCAAUAAAACCCCCCACCCAAGGCAAUCUCUCCCAGCUCCUCGCUUUGAGUAAAGUGAGUAACCUCCAUUUCUGCCAACUCCUGUCUUGUCUGAAGCCACAUUUCCCCAGCAAUGUCACAUAUGCAUUUCUUGAUCCUGGUCAUUUCUCCUCUUGGGAGAUGAAUCAUAAAGAAAAUGAGAUCUGUGUGCCCUGGUGACUAUGGAUGCAAGAGUCUGCUGCCCUGGAGGGAACAGCUGGAAAAGUAGAUGGUGAAGACGUGUGGGGGGGAAACAGUGGAGAAGGCAUCUUUGCAGGGGAUCAAGGUGACAGAGUGAUUAGUUACACUGUUUUGACAUGUGAGAACAGGGGGUUAUAAAAAUGGAUACAGGAAGAGGGAGAGAAAGUAAGGACCAAAACAUGAAGCCAGUCAUGAAUGUUUUUACAUAAAAAGCAGCAGAUUUACGGCAAAUAUGUGAUGUUUCCACAUUUUCUGCCUCUAGUUAGCAGGGGCAGCACAAAGAGCAUUACUGUGGAGCUGAACUUUGGGUAAAAGAUUAACAGCCAGUCCUUUCUCUCCAGUGUCUGCUUCCUUCUGGGCUUGCCCUGGGGGAAAAGGAGGGCUGGCAUGGAUAUGCCUGCAGCCCUCACCCUAGAUGUUCUUCCACGCCUCUCUGUUCAUUCAUUGCUUAGUCAUUCCUCAGGCAUGGAUUGAGACCACUGUGUGCCCAGGACCGACCUGGCCUAGGAUGGACAUAGAGAUGGAAAAGGCACAGGGAGCAGGUGACAGAGACAAAUCAAGGUCAUGGAGAAUAGCAGAGUAAGAUAGAAGAUGAAGGCAGGAGAUGGGGUUCUUGAGAAAGCGAGAGCAGGACUGACCCGUGUCUGCCUCACCUGUUAUUGCUGUAGCCUCUUCUCCUUGGAGUAUCCCUCCUGCUCUUGCAUCACCUUAGGAACUUGGAUCAGAGAGGAAAGUUACGGCCUGGAUAUGUUGUAGUAGGAGGGGACAAACAUGUUUGGAGACAGAAAUGCUUGGGGAGCGGGUGUUUUUGGGGGAUGAGACUUUCCAGGUCUCUCAAUUCACACUAUGUAGGUAGUUCACUGCACAGCUUAAAUAAGAGACAACUCUCCGGAGUGGUUGGCUCUCAUCCAAAAAAUGUGUUUUGGGCCUCAGAUUUCCAACGGAAGGGCUGAAGCGUGACUGGCCUGAUGUCAACUACUGAAGUCCACCUGCCCCUGCCCUAUCAGGUGUGGAAAUGCUGGGGUUCCUCUCUCAGAACCUACUUCCUGAGAUGUCGAAAUAUACCCAAGAGUAUUUCUGGGCCUUCUCCAAUCCGAAACUGUUUAGUUUUUGUGUGUGUGUGCCUACUUGGCCACACUAGAAGACAGAGGUGGCCUGGGUGAAAUGCAGGUUUCUAGAGGCUCUCUGACAAAGCUCAGGCCACCAGCCCCAGGCCAGCCUGUGGGUAGUCCUGGCUGACAGUCACUUCAUACCUCACCUGGGCUUUUUGCCAAAUUCAAAGUGUGUGUAUAUGUGGAGUGCUGGGUUCCCACCACUGACAGUCUGUA
rnacentral:lncRNA from 10 species